rnacentral:rRNA from 1 species
GAUGAACGCUGGCGGCGUGCCUAAUACAUGCAAGUCGAGCGAACAGACGAGGAGCUUGCUCCUCUGACGUUAUCGGCGGACGGGUGAGUAACACGUGGAUAACCUACCUAUAAGACUGGGAUAACUUCGGGAAACCGGAGCUAAUACCGGAUAAUAUAUUGAACCGCAUGGUUCAAUAGUGAAAGACGGUUUUGCUGUCACUUAUAGAUGGAUCCGCGCCGCAUUAGCUAGUUGGUAAGGUAACGGCUUAACAAGGCAGCGACGCGAAGCCGACCUGAGCGGGUGAUCGGCCACAUUGGAACUGAGAAUCGGUCCAGACUCCUACGGGAGGCAGCAGUAGGGAAUCUUCCGCAAUGGACGAAAGCCUGACGGAGCAACGCCGCGUGAGUGAUGAAGGUCUUCGGAUCGUAAAACUCUGUUAUUAGGGAAGAACAAAUGUGUAAGUAACUAUGCACGUCUUGACGGUACCUAAUCAGAAAGCCACGGCUAACUACGUG